AUGUUCCUUUCCCUGCAGGACCAAACAAGGAAGUCUGGCUCACUGAAGUCACCAGAGAUCCAAGACCAUGGAUACUCAACCCUGACCACACUACCAUUAUUUCCGAUGCCACGGAGACAAGAUCAUGGAUUGAGAUUACACAAUCUCGGGGUUGCACAGAAUUUUUCAGUAGGCUUGUACACAGGACACACCCCCACCCCCACACACAGAGGCCAAAGAGAAGCACCAUCAAGUAUCAACAGCACAGAAAAUUUAAUCAGAAGAGGAAGAUGAGUGUCACAUUGACUCUGCUCCCACCAAGUCUUUUGCUCUCAGGUAAACGUAUGUAAGGAAAUAGAAAUAAGGUGCUGGAGGUCCACUUAUGCCCUGACAGUUUAUAAGCCCCAGGGCCCUGAGAAAUUUAAAACACCCUUAAAUCUUCACAGUUAAAAGGACCAUUCAGUUCCAUCUUCCCAGAAGAAGGAGGCGUCUUUCUCAAAGUAAAAUGCCAAUUCAUGACAAAGGCAGAAACUGGUGAAAAGUUUCUAACGCAAUUAUCUAGAUCCAAAAAUCUGAAAGUCUAGGUUCUAUUGGCACCCUAUUACACUUUUGGCAUGUUUUUUACCUCCCGGGUCCACUUAUGACAAGUCACGUCAACAAUGCAAA
rnacentral:lncRNA from 12 species